AUUGAACGCUGGCGGCAGGCCUAACACAUGCAAGUCGAACGAGUGGCGGACGGGUGAGUAAUGUCUGGGAAACUGCCCGAUGGAGGGGGAUAACUACUGGAAACGGUAGCUAAUACCGCAUACCAUCGGAUGUGCCCAGAUGGGAUUAGCUAGUAGGGGGGGUAACGGCUCACCUAGGCGACGAUCCCUAUCUGGUCUGAGAGGAGGACCGGCCAAACUGGAACGUAGCCACGGUCCAGACUCCUACGGGAGGCAGCAGUGGGGAAUAUUGCACAAUGGGCGCAAGCCUGAUGCAGCCAUGCCGCUGGUAUUAAGAAGGCCUUCGGGUUGUAAAGUACUUUCAGCGAGGAGGCGUUACUCGCAGAAGAAGCACCGGCUAACUCCGGGCCAGCAGCGGCGGUAAUUC
rnacentral:rRNA from 1 species